rnacentral:rRNA from 1 species
CCUACGGGCGGCAGCAGUGAGGAAUAUUGGUCAAUGGACGAGAGUCUGAACCAGCCAAGUAGCGUGAAGGAUGACUGCCCUAUGGGUUGUAAACUUCUUUUAUAUGGGAAUAAAAUGUUCCACGUGUGGGAUUUUGUAUGUACCAUAUGAAUAAGGAUCGGCUAACUCCGUGCCAGCAGCCGCGGUAAUACGGAGGAUCCGAGCGUUAUCCGGAUUUAUUGGGUUUAAAGGGAGCGUAGGUGGAUUGUUAAGUGAGUUGUGAAAGUUUGCGGCUCAACCGUAAAAUUGCAGUUGAAACUGGCAGUCUUGAGUACAGUAGAGGUGGGCGGAAUUCGUGGUGUAGCGGUGAAAUGCUUAGAUAUCACGAAGAACUCCGAUUGCGAAGGCAGUUCACUGGACUGCAACUGACACUGAGGCUCGAAAGUGUGGGUAUCAAACAGGAUUAGAUACCCGUGUAGUC